CAUGUGGUUUAAUUCGAUGCAAAGCGAAGGACCAGGGCUUGACACUUCACGAAUCCUCUUGAAAGAGAGGGGUGCCUUCGGGAACGCGGACACAGGUGGUGCAUGGCUGUCGUCAGCUCAUGCCGUAAGGUGUUGGGUUAAGUCCUGCAAUGAGCGUAACCCUCGUGUUAGAAUAACAGCUCCAGAUAUUAAAUCAAUCUAAUUCUUAAUGUCUCAAAUGGGUGGUAUCCCACUUG
rnacentral:rRNA from 1 species